CAGCCAUCAGGCAACCUGGGCAUUGUGGAGGCUUCUCAAAGUAGAGAGGGCUGAUGCCCUUCCUCCUCCGCAGCAAGGGGACUGGAGCCUGGCUCUAGACGAUCUCUGUUUUGUUUUGUUUUGUUUUGUUUUGUUUUGUUUUGUUUUGUUUUUACAUGGAGUUUCGCUCUUGUUGCCCAGGCUGGAGCAUAGUGGUGCGAUCUUGGCUCACGGCAACCUCUGCCUCACGGGUUCAAGUGAUUUUCCUGCCUCAGCCUCCCAAGUAGCUGGGAUUACAAGAGUGUGCCACCACGCCUAGCUAAUCUUGCAUUUUCAGUGGAGACAGGGUUUCAACAUGUUGGUCAGGCUGGUCUCAAACUCCUGACCUCAAGUGAUUCAGCCGCCUCGCCUCCCAAAGUGCUGGGAUUACAGGUGUGAGGCACCACAUCCGACCUCUGCUCUUCCUCAAAGGCCACCAAAUCAUGCCAGCUAACUGUGCAAAGAUGUUAGCCUGAUAGUCAAAGCUCUUCCCAGACUCUUAUAAACAUAGAAGAACAUAGCGGUUAAGAACAUGAGCUCUGCAGCAGGAUUACACGGAUUCCAAUCUCAGCUCAGCCACAUACUAGCUGUGUGAUGUUGGAUGAGAACAUUGAGGCCUAGGGCAUUUCAAUAGCUUGCCAAAGGGCUCAUCAUUCUCGGGUAACAGGAUGAGGCCAGACACCAAGGAUCCCUGGAUCCAUGCCCUACUCUCCACACUUGUCUUGGGUCUAUGAAGCCCCCAGUCCCAAG
rnacentral:lncRNA from 1 species